rnacentral:rRNA from 1 species
UUGAAAGGGAAACGAUUGAAGUCAGUCAUGCUGGUGGGAAUCAACUUAGGGGAAACUCUAGGUGCACUUCUUCGCUUGGCAGGUUAACGUCGAUCUUGAAUGCCAUAAAAUAAUUGGGGGAAGGUAGCUCCUUCGGGAGUGUUAUAGCCCUUGAUAGAUGUGAUGUUUGGGGUCGAGGAUUGCAACGGAUACCCUUCGGGGCUAACCGCCUGAUCUCUAAUUGGUGUUGGGUUACGGACAGCAUGCUGACCGUGAUCUAAUUACUGGUUAAAAGGUUAGAGCGUGCAUAAAUUCGUUAAGGAUGUUGACGUA